rnacentral:rRNA from 1 species
AAACCGCCUAGGGGUUAAGCCCGAUGAACCUGAAUUACCGAAAUGGGAAAUUCAAUAUUGUUUGUUAUUUGCCGUCAAAAGCAAAUGAUGAAUUGUAUGCACUUUUCCCAUAGUAGGUCAUUGCGAUCCAUUAGUAAUUUAACAUUAUUAAAAUGUUAAUUGUUGAUUGAAAGGCCCGUGUGAUUAGUUUUUCCUAUCUGUAGCAGUUUACUCAACUGUUAUAUGGAUAACAUCAUGUCGGUGCCUAAAUGAACAGCUGAUGGAGCUUCAGAAUCGUCCAAACACACGAUGUUGUGAACACAGUUAAAAUGAUUUGAUAUGCAUUUGUAUGUAUGUGUUCGGAUGUAUUUGAUUUGCAAUGCGAUAGAUUUGGGAUACCUUCGGGACCCGUCUUGAAACACGGACCAAGAAGUUUAACAUAGGCGCGAGUCAUUGGGUUAUGUGUUGAAACCUAAAGGCGAAAUUAAAAUAACUAAUUAUUCAUUUUUCGGAAUGAAUAAUAGAAUGGGAUUACGAAAAAUUUUUAAUGAUUUUUCCUCCAUCCCGGGGCGUUCUAUAUGAACAUGAUUUAAGCAAUUGAGUCCUCUGUUCGAGAGCGUACCUUGAGCGUCUAUGUUGAGACCCGAAAGAUGGUGAACUAUACCUGAUCAGGUUGAAGUCAGGGGAAACCCUGAUGGAGGACUGAAGCAGUUCUGACGUGCAAAUCGAUUGUCAGAAUUGGGUAUAGGAGCGAAAGACUAAUCGAACCAUCUAGUAGCUGGUUCCCUCCGAAGUUUCCCUCAGGAUAGCUGGUGCAAUUAAAAAUCUAAUAUAUAAUCUUAUCUGGUAAAGCGAAUGAUUAGAGGCCUUGGGGCCGAAACGACCUCAACCUAUUCUCAAACUUUAAAUGGGUAAGAACCUCAUCUUUCUUGAUGUGAAGAUAUAGAGGUUUAGAUAUAUUGUGCCCAGUGGGCCACUUUUGGUAAGCAGAACUGGCGCUGUGGGAUGAACCAAACGUGAUGUUACGGCGCCAAAAUCAAUGACUCAUAUAGAUACCAUGAAAGGUGUUGGUUGCUUAAAACAGCAGGACGGUGGACACGGAAGUUGUAAUCCGCUAAGGAGUGUGUAACAACUCACCUGCCGAAGCAACUAGCCCUUAAAAUGGAUGGCGCUCAAGUCAUAUGCCUAUACAUCACCGCUAGAGUAAUAGAGCUUCAGUGUCUUUUGUCAUUGAAGUUUUUGAAACUCUAGUGAGUAGGAGGGUACAAUGGUGUGCGCAGAAGUGUUUGGCGUAAGCCUGCAUGGAGCCGCCAUUGGCACAGAUCUUGGUGGUAGUAGCAAAUAAUCGAAUGAGAUCUUGGAGGACUGAAGUGGAGAAGGGUUUCGUGUGAACAGUGGUUGAUCACGAGUUAGUCGGUCCUAAGCUCUAUGCGAAAGCUGUUUAAUAUA